rnacentral:rRNA from 1 species
AGAGUUUGAUCCUGGCUCAGGAUGAACGCUGGCGGCGUGCCUAACACAUGCAAGUCGAGCGAGGGUUUGCUCAGUAUUGAGUAUUCUAAGUCUAGAAUGUUCAAUUCUGAGCAAAACCAAGCGGCGGACGGGUGAGUAACGCGUGGGUAACCUGCCCUAUACACAUGGAUAACAUACUGAAAAGUUUACUAAUACAUGAUAAUAUAUAUUUGCGGCAUCGCAGAUAUAUCAAAGUGUUAGCGGUAUAGGAUGGACCCGCGUCUGAUUAGCUAGUUGGUGAGAUAACUGCCCACCAAGGCGACGAUCAGUAGCCGACCUGAGAGGGUGAUCGGCCACAUUGGAACUGAGACACGGUCCAAACUCCUACGGGAGGCAGCAGUGGGGAAUAUUGCACAAUGGGCGAAAGCCUGAUGCAGCAACGCCGCGUGAACGAUGAAGGUCUUCGGAUCGUAAAGUUCUGUUGCAGGGGAAGAUAAUGACGGUACCCUGUGAGGAAGCCCCGGCUAACUACGUGCCAGCAGCCGCGGUAAUACGUAGGGGGCUAGCGUUAUCCGGAUUUACUGGGCGUAAAGGGUGCGUAGGUGGUCCUUCAAGUCGGUGGUUAAAGGCUACGGCUCAACCGUAGUAAGCCGCCGAAACUGGAGGACUUGAGUGCAGGAGAGGAAAGUGGAAUUCCCAGUGUAGCGGUGAAAUGCGUAGAUAUUGGGAGGAACACCAGUAGCGAAGGCGGCUUUCUGGACUGCAACUGACACUGAGGCACGAAAGCGUGGGUAGCAAACAGGAUUAGAUACCCUGGUAGUCCACGCUGUAAACGAUGAGUACUAGGUGUCGGGGGUUACCCCCCUCGGUGCCGCAGCUAACGCAUUAAGUACUCCGCCUGGGGAGUACGCACGCAAGUGUGAAACUCAAAGGAAUUGACGGGGACCCGCACAAGUAGCGGAGCAUGUGGUUUAAUUCGAAGCAACGCGAAGAACCUUACCUAAGCUUGACAUCCCUCGGACAGGUGUUUAAUCACACCCUUCCUUCGGGACUGAGGUGACAGGUGGUGCAUGGUUGUCGUCAGCUCGUGUCGUGAGAUGUUGGGUUAA